rnacentral:rRNA from 1 species
GAAAGGCGCUUUUGCGUCACUGAUGGAUGGACCCGCGGUGCAUUAGCUAGUUGGUGAGGUAACGGCUCACCAAGGCCACGAUGCAUAGCCGACCUGAGAGGGUGAUCGGCCACACUGGGACUGAGACACGGCCCAGACUCCUACGGGAGGCAGCAGUAGGGAAUCUUCGGCAAUGGACGAAAGUCUGACCGAGCAACGUCGCGUGAGUGAAGAAGGUUUUCGGAUCGUAAAACUCUGUUGUUAGAGAAGAACAAGGAUGAGAGUAGAACGUUCAUCCCUUGACGGUAUCUAACCAGAAAGCCACGGCUAACUACGUGCCAGCAGCCGCGGUAAUACGUAGGUGGCAAGCGUUGUCCGGAUUUAUUGGGCGUAAAGCGAGCGCAGGCGGUUUCUUAAGUCUGAUGUGAAAGCCCCCGGCUCAACCGGGGAAGGUCAUUGGAAACUGGGAGACUUGAGUGCAGAAGAGGAGAGUGGAAUUCCAUGUGUAGCGGUGAAAUGCGUAGAUAUAUGGAGGAACACCAGUGGCGAAGGCGGCUCUCUGGUCUGUAACUGACGCUGAGGCUCGAAAGCGUGGGGAGCGAACAGGAUUAGAUACCCUGGUAGUCCACGCCGUAAACGAUGAGUGCUAAGUGUUGGAGGGUUUCCGCCCUUCA